GCCGGAGGAGGCAAUCGUUAUCCGGAAUUAUUGGGCGUAAAGCGUCCGCAGGUGGCGAUUCAAGUCUGCUGUCAAAGGUCGGGGCUUAACCCCGGGAAGGCAGUGGAAACUGAAUAGCUAGAGUGCGGUAGGGGCAGAGGGAAUUCCCGGUGUAGCGGUGAAAUGCGUAGAGAUCGGGAAGAACGCCAGUGGCGAAAGCGCUCUGCUGGGCCUGCACUGACACUGAGGGACGAAAGCUAGGGGAGAGAAAGGG
rnacentral:rRNA from 1 species